rnacentral:rRNA from 1 species
AUGAAGGAUCUAGGAGUAGCCGAUGUUAUCUUAAACAUCAAGCUGUUGAGAGAUGAGAAUGGUGGGAUCACACUGCUUCAGUCUCACUAUGUGGAAAAGGUCUUGAGUCGUUUUGGGUAUAUUGACUGCACGCCUUCUCCAACUCCAUAUGAUGCUAGUGUGUUGCUUCGAAAGAAUCGACAGAUUGCUAGAGAUCAACUGAGGUAUUCUCAGAUUAUUGGCUCGCUUAUGUAUUUGGCGAGUGCCACGAGGCCUGACAUCUCUUUUGCUGUGAGCAAGCUGAGUCGGUUUGUGUCAAAACCGGGAGAUGAUCAUUGGCGUGCGCUUGAGAGAGUUAUGCGCUACUUGAAGGGCACUGCGAGCUAUGGGAUUCACUACACCGGGUAUCCAAGGGUACUGGAGGGUUAUAGUGACUCGAACUGGAUAUCUGAUGUUGAUGAGAUUAAGGCCACAAGUGGUUAUGUUUUUACACUUGGUGGUGGCGCUGUUUCCUGGAAGUCUUGCAAGCAGACCAUCUUAACGAGGUCAACUAUGGAAGCAGAACUCACAUCAUUAGACACUGCAACUGUUGAAGCAGAGUGGCUUCGUGAGCUAUUGAUGGACUUACCUAUGGUUGAAAAACCAAUACCCCAUAUCCUGAUGAACUGUGAUAAUCAAACUGUGAUCUUUAAGAUAAACAGUUCUAAGGACAAUAUGAUGUCCUCAAGGCAUGUGAAGAGGAGAUUAAAAUAUGUCAGGAAACUGAGGAACUCCGGAGUUAUUAUGUUGGAUUAUAUCCAAACAUCGAAAAACUUGGCAGAUCCCUUCACAAAGGGUCUAUCACGUAAUGUGAUAGAUAAUGCAUCGAUGGAGAUGGGUUUGAGACCCACCGCAUGA